GAAUCAUCUGAGAAGGAAAGAGAAAACAGCAUUAAGAUAUCUGGGGCCCAUUCUCGUGAACCAGACUCUCCGGGAACUUUUCCUCAUCCCUCCUCCCCACCCAUGCUUUGUUUUUUCCACCUCUUAAAAACGAUGUGUAUUUGUGGGUUACUAAACAGAAAGCCACUGAGUCCAGCAGCUUAGGGAAAUGAUGAGGAAAAGAGUGACCAAAACUUACUUGUGAGGACGGCAUGGAUAUCUUCCUCUCACAUCCGUUCCCUUCAAAGCUUCACAGUCUUAGGUCUGUGAGCCAUCUUGAAUUACCUUUUUGUAUAUGGCGUGAGGCAGGACCCCAUUCUUUUGCAUGUGCGCAUCAGUUGUCCCCACACCCCUGUCUUUUUAAUGUCUCUUUUCCCUCAGGCAGUUGUUCCCAGCCCCAGCCUCUCUGUUGCCCGGGGACAGAUUACCACUGCAAGAGAGGAAGCUGCUACUGUGAUGAAUUCUGCCAUGCGCUCUCAGAUUGCUGCUCAGACCACAGGGCCCUCUGCAACCCCAGUGACCUGCACGCAGGCUCCCCUCCACCCAUGGCACGGAUGGAUGCUGUAACAGGCAGAGGCAAGCCUGUCCUUGCCUGUCCUUUUGAUGGUGGCGGUGAUGUGGACUGGAUAUGUCCCUGUUAAUCCUGCAGUUCUUGCAGCUAUGCAUUUCACGCUCAAAGCGUCUGCAUAUUCCUUUCAGCUUGGCUUCUCCCAGGCGCCUGUCUGCCCACUGCUCUCCUCCAAGCCCUUUUUAGGUCCCACGGGGAGAGUCUGAGCUGUUGAUGGUGAGGACUAGGGUAGGGGAAUGUGGUGGGCCACAUCGUCUCUUGCUGUGCGCAUGCCUGUUGGCCUGCUCGGAGACUUCAGAGCAGAAAGGAGCCUGCAGGGAGGUGUCUGGGACGGUGAACAGCAUAGAGGUGUCCGGGACAGUGAACAGCAGGGAAGUGUUUGGGAGGCUGGUAGGCAUAGAUGAAGAAGCAGACCGGGGCUUUCACACUGUGUUUCAGCCGCUCACACUCCCAAGAUGGUGCUGCAGUUGGUGCUGAGGAUAAGGAGCCCAAUGGACUCAGCCAGCAGCACUCAAGACUGGGUGCAAAGCGUGGUUCUGCAGCUCCUCCACAGCAGCCUCGCCAGAAGGCCACUCUCCGUGACUGUGAAGGGAAUCCGGAAGGGAGCCUGACUCCUCCUGAGGCUCCUCCUCCAGCCAUGCCAGCAGGACACACGGAACCCGCCAUCACCUGCAGUUGGUUGGGGCCAAUGUGGCUGCCAGCCCAGGGAUGUCUGUCUCUCAGCUGCCAUCCUAGGAGCCCCCACCCACAUUGGCUUAGCCUGGGGAAAACAGAAACCUAGAAUUGUUGUAAACACAUCUAAAAAACGUGCAUAGCAUUGGCCAUUAUAAAAAUUACAAAACCA